UACGUAGGGGGCAAGCGUUGUCCGGAUUUAUUGGGCGUAAAGAGCGUGUAGGCGGCUUGGUAGGUCUCGCGUCAAAACCUGAGGCUCAACCUCAGUUCGCGUGGGAAACCACCUAGCUAGAGUCCGGAAGAGGAGAACGGAAUUCCCAGUGUAGCGGUGAAAUGCGCAGAUAUUGGGAAGAACACCAGUGGCGAAGGCGGCUAACUGGUCCGAUACUGACGCUGAGGUGCGAAAGCGUGGGGAGCAAACAGG
rnacentral:rRNA from 1 species